UAGAUUCUAACACUUCUCUCCAAAGGUUAAGCUUCGCAUUUACCCCUUCCUGAGUUUCAUCUAUCAACACUAUAUCGUCUGCGAAAAGCAUACACCAAGGAAUAUCAUCUUGAAUUUGUCCCGUUAACUCAUCCAUUACCGAUGCAAUUCUUCACCCUCCCCCGUCUAAUAGGAUCAAAGUACUUAUUUUGUGUGUCAUGUAUAAAUUUGAUAGGAGCAUAUGCUUCCCAACAACUUUGAGUGGAGUCGUUCAAAAAGAAAUUUCGAUGACCCCCUUGCUCAUUUAAAACUGCAUCCGGGUGCCAAUGGAGAUACAGUGACCCUUGCUCACUUAUCACUAUAUUCGGGCCACACAGCGCGCCACUUACGGGUGACGCCCUAGUUUUAGCGUGAUUUUGUUCUAGAUUCAUUUUCAUAAGGAUUCAACAUAACCUAUGAGAGCCGGCUGUCGACUACCUGAUGCCCUCCCCCUUCUCCUUUAUCCGGGCUUGGGACCCUCAAUGUAAGAUAAACUUACACAGGCGGAGUUAAUAUCUCAGACUUAGGUAAAAAAAAAAAUCUUAAUUAAUCAGUAGUAGUUGGUCUAAGAUGUCCCACAUACAUAUGAAAAGACCACUAAACCGUAAUUCUAGUGACUUUAUAAUUGUUUUUGUUUUUUUAUGAAAAAUCAACUUUAUUAAACUCAAACUUCAUAUACAUCAACAACUAAGAGGGGUUAAUGCUUGGCGUCUCCUCCUCCACCCAAGAGAAAAACUUUUGCAACAAAAAUUCGGCAAACUCAUGAGGUAUGCAAUAUAUAUCUACAUAUAGAGCCUUUAUCUAAAUGGUCUCCAUUUUUUUGGUAAAAAUAACGACUAGCUGUGGAGCCUAUUAUACAUCAAACUUUAAUGAUCUAGAUGACCUAUUUUUUAAGUCUUCAUGCAUAGAUCAUUUUUGAAAAAAAAAAUCAAUUCAAUCUGAAACCAUUUACUCAUGAUCGUCAUGAUGAAAUUUUAAUGUUUCUUAGAACAUAGUGUUCGUCAAUUUCUUUAAACUCAGUUAGAUGCCUUAAACAUUUUCGAUUCAGCUAAUAUUUUGCAAGGAUAAUCUGCAAAGUGCAACUUGAAAAAUAAACGGUUCGGAUCAUUGAAAUUCAAUGCGGUGCAGGCCUCACAACUAAUCCUCAUUUUGAUCAAAAAGUGGGAAUCCCUUUGGAUAAAAGACCUAUAUAUAUGCAGAGAAUUUCAAAUAGAGUAAUGAUGCGUAAAUUAACUUAACACACAAAUUAAACCCUCUUGUUGACAAUUGUAGUAUGGAUAAGUAGGGAUCGUUCUGGACCGGGGAUUAGGAGGGAUUGCUAAUCUACUUCUAAACUGACUCAAAUAACUAAAAACAAGUUACAAACACUUAACAAGACUCAAAGAAUGCAAAACUAAAUUUUAAAACACUAAAACAUACCAAAAGACUCAAAACAGCACAAAAACACUCAAAACUGCUUUAAAAACACUUUCUGGGCAGUUUUGAACUCUAACACUAAUUUGGACGAAAUUUGGGUUUCUAAAGGCUCAAAACACUUAAAAACACAAUCUAAGACAGGUUCUAACUAAUAUGACUUAACAAAGUAAAGGGGGUUUGGUUUUGGACGAAAAUAAGUAAAUUAAAACAAGAACAAUUUAAACAGAUUCUUAAGCAAAUUUAGGUGAAUUGACGAGAUAUGGGGUAACUAGAGGGUUCUUCUCCACACAUGACACACUUGCAUUCAAAUU
rnacentral:lncRNA from 1 species